rnacentral:rRNA from 1 species
CCUACGGGAGGCAGCAGUGAGGAAUAUUGGUCAAUGGGCGGGAGCCUGAACCAGCCAAGUCGCGUGAGGGAAGACGGUCCUAUGGAUUGUAAACCUCUUUAGGCGGGGAGCAAAGCCGGGCACGCGUGCCCGGAGGGAGAGUACCCGCAGAAUAAGCAUCGGUUAACUCCGUGCCAGCAGCCGCGGUAAUACGGAGGAUGCGAGCGUUAUCCGGAUUGAUUGGGUUUAAAGGGUGCGUAGGCGGAUUUUUAAGUCAGCGGUAAAAUGUCCGGGCUCAACCCGGGCCGGCCGUUGAAACUGGGGAUCUUGAGUGGGCGAGAGGUAUGCGGAAUGCGUGGUGUAGCGGUGAAAUGCAUAGAUAUCACGCAGAACUCCGAUUGCGAAGGCAGCAUACCGGCGCCCGACUGACGCUGAGGCACGAAAGCGUGGGGAUCGAACAGGAUUAGAUACCCGGGUAGUC